GGUGCUUUGAUAGCCAAAAAGCCCCGAAAUAGACCUAUAUUUCAUCAAUAAUUUGUCCAAUUUGAUAUAACAAGUCAAAAACAACGUCAUUUUGUACAUUAAGUGAAAUAUAUAUAUAACAAUACGUUUUUCAAGUGCCGGCUAACGUAACCGAGGUUCCGCGGAUGACGCACCACAUGACCGCAGCUAUGAAAGGUUGAGAACUGGCACCUUUUCUUUUUCCUUGGCGUCUUUGUUGGUUUAUCACUGUCCCUGUUUUCUUGACACUUCUGUCUGAUUUCUGAAUCAGGCAGGCUCAUUUACUGACGGUCCAUAAAUCUAUCGCCAGCGAUUAAACGCACGAGGUGAGUACGUUUAUCCGAGAAUAUGUCGUAGACACAGAAAGGAGGAAGAUACACCGCCCCGCCCACCGGUGUAGCCCCACUUCCAGGAUAAGGCUAUUAGAAACGUCAACGGCACAGCUCUGUUCUUCUCGUCAGACAGCGUGGAUCUGUUCAGGAAUUGUGAUCCAGAAAGGUUUUUCAGCACUGAUCUCUAAACAUGAAUAAAGUGACCCUCAUCUUUCUGGCGCUGUUUGCUCCUGGACUCGCUCAGUGCUUUCCAGUCACAGCAAGUCAAGGUAGAAACAGAUCGCCACAGCUGUUUUUCUGCAAUAUUUCUGGAUGUGCCUUUGAUAUGACUCACGUAUAUUGCAACGACGUGGAUCUCAUGAAUCAGACUGGCAUCGCAGAUUGUACAGGCCCUCCACCCCCCAACACUGUCUGCCGACAUGGCGGUCGGGCAUUCUUUUCCAUCGAUACAGAUGGUGUCUGUGAAUUUGAAGGGAAAUCUGGUUACAUUGUGACUGAAAAAUGUACAGACCAAAGCAACAUCUGUGCUUUUAUCAGUGCUAACAUUUCAUCACAAGUCGCCACAGAGGACCAUGCAAGACAUAGAUACAUUGUUGUUGGAGUUUGUAAGUUCUGAGCUUCACUUAUGAUGCUGCUUAGGCCAUGUUUCUUUUGCUUUUUAACAAGAAACUUUAAAUCUUUCUCUCACCAUUCAAGUUAUUUGUUGAAUUCAAUAAAAUAACGCUUUUUGCUAUUAAUCCAACUUGCUUUUGCUCUCCCAUCCUCGGGAUCCUUGCUUUCGGUGCUCAGGGUUGAAAUGUUUGCCUUUCAAAUGCUAACAUAAGGUGGUUCAGCGCUAAUAAUACUCAUCGGUACCUUUUGGUAUAUACACUCACGUUGGAUUGUACAAAGCAGAGGGAGAAAUCAACAGCCAGCAAGGGACUAUACUGCUAUACCGCUAAGGGAGAUGGAAAGCCCUGGAGAAACCAGUGACAAUGAUACUCCUGGAUCGGCUGAUGGCUCGUCUACUUCUCACCGUGACCGUGGAGCUUGAACUACAGCAGCCAGAUUUUUUCCUGAUAUGUUUGCUUUAUUGUUGUACAGUUUUAUUUUGUCAUCUACCGGAUAUAUAAGGGACGCCUUGAGUUAAUUCCUUCAAAUGUGGCACAAACGUCUGAACUCAAGGAUGGAAUGAUCAGGUUUUGGUGCUCAAAGGUUAAGGUCAAUGUGAAAUCACGUCAGCCCCAUCCAGGCAAACGCAAUAUCUCAGGAACACCUUCAGGGAAUUUCUUCAAAUUCGGCACAAACGUCCAUCUGGACUAAAGGAAGAACUCAUGGUCAAAGGGAGGGGCGUUUCCAGGAUUCAAAGAAAGGGGGGGCUUAGCCCCAAGGGGAGUGGUGCGUCAAUUUUUUUUG